UACGUAGGUGGCAAGCGUUGUCCGGAUUUACUGGGCGUAAAGGGAGCGUAGGCGGAUUUUUAAGUGAGAUGUGAAAUACCCGGGCUUAACUUGGGUGCUGCAUUUCAAACUGGAAGUCUAGAGUGCAGGAGAGGAGAAUGGAAUUCCUAGUGUAGCGGUGAAAUGCGUAGAGAUUAGGAAGAACACCAGUGGCGAAGGCGAUUCUCUGGACUGUAACUGACGCUGAGGCUCGAAAGCGUGGGGAGCAAACAGGAUUAGAUACCCGCGUA
rnacentral:rRNA from 1 species